CGGCCGAAUCGCGUGUAAACACCGGCUCCCGUAUGAUCACUGAAGUUAUGCAACGUCGAACUUGACUAGUACCUUCAUGGAUGACCUCUUGGGAAUAUCAGGUGCUGUAAG